CACGAUUCGACAAGAUCACAUACAGAGCUUGUGAUUUCUUUGCUGGCGUAUCUCAAAGUAACGAUGCAGUUAGAGAGAGCUUCUUGAGCAAUGCCCUCAAACGUUGGUUUCUGAAAUAUUAAUCAAUAAUUGACUAAGUGCUUAGAGAAAAUAAAAUGUAAAGCAAGAACGCUGUGUACAGUAUAGAUAAGUUGCAAAUGUUUACAAAGUUCCGUAUAUGCACGCGCAUCUUUGAAGGCAAUAAAAGAAGGACCACGUAAGAUUAACUAUUUCCUUGAAUUUAUGUAAUUAUGUAAUAAACGAACUAAAAGGAGCUGGAAUUGGUUUUUCUUAACUAUUAUUUUCUCUUUUAAAGAUCAGGUUUUAAUUAUUUUAAAAAGUAAGUUGCUUUUUCAACUUGAUUUCUUCGAUCGUUGCGGUCUGUUCUUUAUAUUUCUUGCUUAUGUGGAUGCUCGUGCAUCUCCAUUGUUUUAGACGCAAAAUCAAAACAACUACGUCACGCUGCAACUUAUCUAUAAGAAUGUCUUUUGCUACGUCAGCUACUAACAAAAAGAAACAGGACCACGUACCCCGAUGCAGGUGUACAGUUUCGAUAAACACACCAAAGUUCUGCGCACGGUAGGAUACCACAUCGCUUGGAGGUCGACAACUGCCGUCUGAUUUUCUGUAAAUAAGUGACAAGUACACAUGUCAACAAAGUUCAAGUCAGUAGUAUGAACGAAAAAAAAGAUUUCGCAAAAUGUGCGUAAACGAUAAUCUCAGAGCAUAGAGGUGAGACACAAAAAAGAACUCUUGUCACAACCAACGUUCGUUUUUCCAAGAUAUAAUCUGUCUGUUACAUAUUUUUUUUUGUUAAUAUUAUUUGUAUUAAAGUUGCUUAGCAAUCUCACAAAUUUCAGUACAGUUUCUUAUAAACUGAUUUGCUUUAUAUAUAACGUAUAUUUAUAGUGUACUGCAAACGCCAAAUCUAGCAAAAAAAUUAUUACUUAAUAACAAGCACGACAUGGUGAAGUAAGGCGAAAGUAAAAGCAGUUUGAGGAAAAAUUAGAAUACACAAAAACUGUGGCUCAAAGAUAAAUAUGCGGUACUUACCAGUUCUAUUAAAUGUCUUCUUCUCUAAAUCCGUGUCACCGUCUGAUGAGUUCAACUAAUAUGAAAAAAUUCUCAAUCUUAUUCUUGUGUAGAAAUCAACUAAGAAUAUUUCCCUCGAAUAAAAUACUCCUCAAGGCGAAUUUUAAAUGCAAACAUUCUGACCAAUAACAGGGUGACCAUUAAUAAAAUGAGUAAGGAUAUUAAGGAGAAUUAAGGAGACAAAUUUACAUUUUCUAAGGAUAUUUUCCUGCGAACGAGAAUACAAAAAUAAAAAAAUAAGGAUAAUUAAGGAGAAAAACAAUUUUAGUUCUCUAUAUUUAAUGUUACAUACUAUGUUCUAUGAUAAGGAAAUUAUACAUAUUAUACAAAUAUACACAUAAAUUAUGCCCUGAAAGGUAGAAAAUAUAGGAUUUGAGGUAACACAGAAAAAUGUCUUAUUUCACUGGUGAUGAACAAUCCAUGAACACAUUUCGAAAAAAGUUACGAUCAAAAAAUUAAGAAAUAUGGAGAAAUUAAGGAGAAUAGCUAAAACUUCAAUUUUUUUAAGUAUAUUUAAGUACUUUUAACGAGAUUUUCUUUUUCUAAGGUUAUUUAAGGAAUUUAAGGAGGAGUGGUCAGCCUGAAUAAGAAAUUUUACGCGAUGGGAUACGUUUACUUUUAAACCACGUGAUCAAACUAGGGAUGGAAAAGUGCUGUAAAAGUUUAGUUCCAACAAAUUACCAUAGAAUAUGUUAAAGUUAUUAACGUCCAACAUUGCUUGUACAAAAAUUCUUCCCUUAAUGAAUACUUAACGCUUAUCUCUUCCACUUCAAAACAAGUUGAUUUGAGUGGAAGGUAAGCUUUAUAAAAUUAAACAUACCAUCAUCAUAAGUUUGUCUGGAUAAGCGAGAUCACCUGGUGCUGGCGCAUAACUAGCUAUAUCCUUGUGAAUGUAGGCCUGAAACAGAGGUUAAAACGACCUGCAUAAACAUUUUAGUAUCUUACCCCAUAAUUUUAGAGAAAAAAACUGGGUCUCCAAAUUGAUUUAUCAAAAUCUUGCUAAACCGUCUCGAUUACAAUUUUCUUUAAUUUCUGGAAAUCAGUUGAGUAACUCGUUCUUUGCGAAAGUCGCAAAAAUUAAUUAAGUCCAUGAGAAAAUUAAUCCCCUUAAGGCAGACGAAAUCCCCAAACUUUAAUAACCACCGAGAAUUACCACUACCGUAAAUGACAGAUUAAGCGAACCGUGUCCAAUAAGCAACCCUGUCGAAUAAGCGCCACGGGGUUAGGAAAAUAUAUGUAAAUAAGUGCCCCUGCUCUAAUAUUUGAAUCAGCAGAAAUAAUUUUUACUAUCCCUUUGAAUUCCUCACAACGACGAUAAAGAUAAAAAUGAAAAUAUUAAAAUUUCAUAAAAGAUAGAUUAUUACUAUUUUAUUUCUUUAGUUUUUGUUUGUAUUUCUAUUUUUAUUCAUAAAAGUUAUGGGAAAAAAAGUUUAAAAAAAUUUAAUGCUGAAUUAACCGCCCCUGCCCAGCAAGCGCCCCCUGUCAAGAUGAAAUUUUAAAAAAUGCUCCCCAGCCGCCUUUUUUGUAAUUUACAGUAAUCACCUGCGUGCGAUACACGAGUCGUUCUUGUACAUCCUCAAGCAUUUCAGAAGCUAUCACUUGAAAAGACAAAAGCUGCUCAGCUAAAGUACAAAAGCACAGAAAUCAUUAUGUAAAACAGUUUAGAAGGAAUUAUACAAUGAACUAAACAAUGACGCUGAGUCAGCAACGUACCUUUCCUUUGAACAUGAUCUUCUAACAUUUCAACCUGAGAAAAUAGAGAGGUAUAGUGAAACUCAACUGUUACGUGAUGCAAACAUACGAAAAGCAACAACAAACAGAUUUGACAAACCUUCAAUAUGUUGCAGAGUUCAGCUAAUGUUUCCAUAUGGGUCAUGUGAAUGAUAAGAGGGCGAAAUGUCUCGUAUAAUAUACCACAUAAAUUCUCCAUCAGUGUACUAACAAAAAAAAACAUAACAAAGAUAGUGACACUUAUUGACACUUAUUGACAAGUAUAUUCUUAUGAAGAUACUUUAUCCGAGUAUUGAGUCGUUUUCAGGGUGUCUGGCAAAUUUAAGUUUUUCAAGGUUUUUCUCCCAAGAAUGAUACAAAGUCACCUAUACUGAUUUCAAGCUUUUCAAGGUCUUCAAGAUCCAGUAAACAACCUGUUUCAGAUGUGUAUUCACCGAGACACAUAAAUAUUUGUAUACAUCGAGACAAACGUUUGCAUAUAUAAUGUUUGUGUAUAUUGAGACAAUGUCUAUAUGCAUCGAGACAAAAAACUAUCUGUGUACAUGGGGAGUCAAUGUGACUGAAAUUUUACAAAUUGGGCUAUUGUUUUAAAUCCAAUGAUACACGAUGAUAUUCAACUGAGGUGAAGAAAUGUACACUAAUGAAGAGCACCUUCUUUAAAUUAAUCACAAGCAUAACAAAAGUUAAGAGAUACAAACCCUCUCAAAAAACUGUCUUACUCAAAAUUCUGUUUUCCUUUUGUGAAAUAUUCAUGGUAUAAUUGGUAUUCGUCUUGACAUACAUGAACCAUAAAAGAACAGCCAGAACGAAACUAAAAGAAAGUAAGUCACAGUGUAAUUGGUGCCUAAGCUGGCUUUAACUGCUUUUGAUUGUAAUAGAAAAAAAAUUAAAUUUAGAGUUGGGAAGACAAUUUUAUCUUGCAGAGUUCUACAUAAGAAUUCCAGUCCAUGCAAAAAGGAUUUCUGUGCAUGAAACUGUACUUAAAAGUUUUAACUUUUCUCGUAAAAAUUUGUAUCUUUAUGCUUUACAAUCUCACAUGUACCAAAAGAAAUACUACAAUCUUUAAACAACAUGUAGAAGAGGUAAUGCUUUUUCCUAAAAUGGUGCUGUUCCCUCUCGAUACAGCAAGAAAGCUUUUUGUUCUUAGCAUUUAGUUCUUAUGUGUGCUAGCUUUGAGAUAAAGUCCACAUGAAUUACGAUAAACACUAUGUACUAAUACAACUACUGCAAGACAUAACAUCUGAAACAAGUUCAGUUUCAUAAGUAGCUAUACUUUGUUAUAAAUCAAACAUUACCAAUGUGCAUGGAUUCUUAGCGUGUUGUUGUGCAAAUUUAUGCACAGUUUCUGUAACGAAAGGUGAAAUUAGUUGCCAACGGUAUUCCAGGUAACACUGUUGACAGUCUGAAAUCAGUGAUUCGUACCUGAAAAAUUAAAAUAAACAAUUUUAACUUUCAUUCAAUAUGUCUUCUUUUAAAAAUAACUUGUUUUUGUCUUUUGUUUCCUGCACUAAGCAUUAUCAAUUCGAUUUAUUAUGGAAAAUGCUUUAUAAAAUUUUUUUGUUUUUAAUGAACACGAUUAAUAUCAUAUCAAGUUUUUAAAAAUAUACAUAAAUAUAGCUUUACUCUGCAUUAUUUUCUGAUCGUUCCUCAAUCUGCUCCAUGAUGUUCUAUAAAUAAAAAAAUGACGUAACUGUCCUAUUUUAUUCGGAGUAUUACACUUUUUUUUAUAAAAAACGCCAAAUUUAACAAUCGCCAUCAAAACUGCUGAAAAGUCCAAAAUUAAACAGUUUGCUUGGCAAAAAGUUGGUCAAAUGACACAGCCUUUCUAUGGUGCAAAUUUGAGUCCUGAGUAUAGUUUGUCAGAUAAACCCUUGCAACUUAUAUAUAUAUAUAAUAUAUGUAGCUAAACAAUGUUUAAGGAGUAAAAACACAAUUGUUUACAGUCAACAUAAAAUCAAUGCUGAAUAUAAAGUUACCUUUACUCGCAUUGACUGGGUCUUAAACUUUCCAUAAAGAGCUGUGUAUGAACUGUCGGUAAAAUUCAUUGCAGGUUGGUUAUCCUGAAUAUAGCAGAAGUUGUUUUGUGAAAAUGAGGAAAUUACCCUUAGAAAAUUAUACUUGUACAACAAGGAUUUCUAGGUAAAUGUAUACUCAAAAAAAAUAAAAUGAGCAAGAUUUAUUUCACAAUUAAGUUGUAUCAUGCAAGGUUCACAACAUUAGCCUCACAUGAUUUUCUCCACAUUAAAGGAGAGUGAGACCAACCUUUUUUGAGCAAUUGGUAAAUUGGAUAUUUAUUUAUUCGUUGUUAUACUAGAUCAUAUUAAAGUUACAUUAAUUAGGCCUGACAGAGGCGUAGCUAUAGGUUCUAGGAUUGGAGGGGGAGAUUGCAGAUUUUUAGGGUUUAAGUGACUAAGAGACAUGUGUGAGGCAUUAGCCUUCUAACCUUGAAAAACCUCUGGAUGAACUGAAAUGCAUUCAAAUUUUAAGACUACGGUAUCAAUUUUUAAAUUGUUAAAAAAGACAAAAUUACUUCCAUAUUAACAUAUCCUUAGCCCGUCAAAAAUCUGCGGGAGUUCCCUCGUCACAGCAAAGUCAAUAAAAUUUGUAGCUUUAGGAUUUCGUGCAUCGUUAACACUGUUAAAAACAGACAGACGGACAAACAGGUAUUGUUAUAGAGAUAAGACCUGUAUUCUAUUAAAAAUGGUAUCUGUAUGGCUACUUUGUCCUAAAGAUGCCCUUGAUAUGUACGAUAGGUGAAGCCAGCUAACCCAUGGAAUUUUCCGUGACCAAUAUUAUGGUGCUCAUUAUGCGUACACUUGCCAUGCAAGUGUAUGUAUAAUGAGCAGGUGAAUUUCUGCGGAUAUUUUUUAGGCUAAAUGCUAAUACAUAUAAAUUGCAUAGCCAUGUUUAGUCUCAAGUGAACCUUUUUCGUGUAAGAUAUUGGUCGUCCCCUGACCCUCUCAAUAAAUUACACCUCAACUUAGUUUCCGUUUUGGUUUAACGUGGGCUAACAUGGGUCAAGCUUUUGGGUUUAAUUUUUUGUAUUGUGGGUUGAAAAUAGAUAUUCAUAGCUCCUAUAAAAGAAGAGUAUUUACUCAAUUUACACUUAUUUCCUGAAACAUCUAUAUAGCAAACAUUAUGAGUGCUUAUGAAGAUAUGUUUGAGGAUAAAGUUGUACUACUGCUUUUACUGUACAUGUCUAGAAAAAGGAAAGAAAGAUGGCGUUUGUUAUGCAAUUUAUUCAAUUCUAUAAAUCCAAAACUUUUGCUACUUUGUGUUAGGUAUUAGAAAUAACAUCUUUCCUUUUUAUACUUUUAUCUGUUUUAAUGCUUAUCAUACCGGAUUGAUAAUUUUGACAUUCUUUAUGUUUAAAAGUAUUUCUAAACUUUAUUUCUUUCUCUUUUACAAAAUAUGAUUUUUAUUUACAUAUACAUCAAAUUAUUGCUAUCCUUUGAUGCUUUUUACCCCCAUUUUAACCCAUCCAACCUUAGAAAAAAGGAUCAAUUAAUUUUAUUUAAAAUAUUUUUUGUACCUUCAAAAUACGCUAAUUGAUGUAGUCACUUGAAACCUGUUUGGGAUAAUGAAAGUACUACCUUAUGUAAAGCAGCUAAAGCUUGGUUUGAAGCAUUUCGUAAAAUAUUGAUGACGUAUUGUUUUACCAGUCCCAAAGCUUGUGUUAAACAUUGCUUGAAGCGCGCUCCGUAAACCGAAGAUUCUUUAUACUCUGGCUAUAACAGAAAAAAAGUCAAAUAUUUUUGGCCAUCCUCACAGUGAUAUCACAACGUGAAAAGACUGAGUUACAGUUAUUUCAUAUUAUUUCAUAUAAGAACUGAUUAUUCAGUCAUCUUAGCCUAUUAUGCAUUAUAUUCUGCCGACUGCUGGAACAUUUGCUCCAAGAACAGAAGUUCUUGGGUUCAAACCCUGGUUGACUUAUGCCAGAGACUGUAAAUGUGAAUCAAUCCUUUCAGCUUAUUGUUUGGCAUGAGAAUAUACAGUUGCCUAGUUCAUUGAUUGCUGCGCUUGCACAAAUUAGAGCUUAAUUAAAUGCACUAGGACCAUCUUCACAGGAUUAUAUUGAAAACAGAACUAAUGAGGCUAUCCUGGGUAAAUAAUAUAUAUGAUUAUUUUUGCUGAAUAUGCGUGACAAAUUAUCAUCAUGGUGGAAAAUGAUCUUUUAUCGCCAACACAUACAGCUAUUAACUACAACCUUGCAUUUAUCCUAAAGUUUACAUAACAUGGGAAUUUUGUGUCCUGAUUCACAAUAAUUUGUUGUGGAAGGCCAAUCAUGGAAAUAAUUACAUCUAACUUUCAGCUCUCUGUUCAACUAACAAAAAUAAUUAAAAAAAAUUCUACUUACAUGUGAAUCAAUGUAAGAUAUAGACUCGUCUAUUUUUUUCAGUAAAGGUAAAAAAGAUUCUCCAGUCACUGACAUUGUGGAACUAUUCAAUCUCUAAAUUUAACAAAAAUAACAUAAACAGCAAUAAUGAUUGCACCAUCAACAAUAAUAGUGACUAUGUGAUGUUAAAAUUAAAUUUUCAGAAGCAGCCAGGUUAAGCUUAAUUUUUCUAUUAAAAAAUAGAUGCUUUUUAGUGAAAGUUUCUUGUCAGGUAAACAGGAAUACAACAGAAAAUAUGGGGUGUGAUCAUCCAACUGUGGAUUUAAAUGUGUGAACAUAGUCUACAUUACAGAAACUUCAAGGUAAUGACAAAUCUCAGUUUUGUGAAAUUCUGGUACGGGUACGGUAAUUUUGAUUAAGUAUAAUGUUUUAAACGAAUUUUCCUAAUUGUUACCUAACAAGCUGCCCAAAGAGUUGAAAUAUACCAAGGAACCCUAGAUGACAUUUCUUUGUUUUAUUGCAAGUUCAUACAUUGAGAAAGGUAAGCAAAAAAUAAAAAUUUCUCAUUAAAUUUGGUAAAAUGAAAAAGUAUGAAAGUAUAAAAUAUGCAGAAUUUACCCAAUUCAGACAAAGAACCGAAAUUUAAGAUUUAAGGUGGCAGGAGAAGUGUUUUGCUCUUUUAUUAUCAUCUAAUUGGUUAAGAUCUUCAGGUGAAAUAUCUAUUCUGUAGGAAUCUGUUUUUCAUGGUAAAAACUACAUAGAAAAUAUUACUCACAUGCUUUAUAGAUUCAUAUGAACUGAAAUAAGAUAAUCUAUUUGAAAUAUUUUCUGCUUGGUCCAUUAGAUUUGCCUAAACAAAUAUAUAGUAAAUAAUAAUAAAUAAAUAAAAACUACUCAAUCAGGCCCAUGCAAAAAUCCACUUACACAGAAAAAUAAUGGAAAAAAUAGGUUGUUUUAGGUCUUUUGCUGACAUCAACAGUGCAUAAACAAAAAUAAAAUUGGCGAAACUUGUUUAUCCGUUGCCUCUAGUGUGCAGAGCUGAAAUGCUGAUGAGCAAAAUCUAUAAUGUGCUUUUGACAAAGGGUUAAGGAGAGAUAUAAAGGCUUAAAAAUCUUGCCCAGGUUUGGGAAACUUACCAAAUUUGGUUCCAAGUGGUCCCUAGUUACCCCCCCCCAGUGAAAAAUGACUGACGUCACCACUUUAUUUCCAAGUUUUUUGGCCUCAAAGUUUAAAGUGCACUGUGAUGGUAUUAUUUUAAACAGACACAGAUAGUACCUGAUCUUGUAAGGACUGUUCACAAGCAUCAUGAAGAGCUCUCGUUUGUGUGGAAACAAAAACAUGUUGUUUUUCUAACUUUUCAAGAUGACUGAGAACUUUAUCAACUUCUUUAAGAAUGGCAUCACAUUUAGAAACAUACUGCAACAAUUCAUCCUCAUAAUUCCUGUAAAUAAAAUUAUCAGUAAACACAAAAUCCAUUUGAAUCCAGUUAUGGCAUAAGUAACAAAAAAUACUAUUAAAAAUAUUACUGUUUUACAGUAGUAUUUAACAAUCUAGAAAAUGUGUUUUUUUAACAUCUUAAUCAAAUUCAUAGGUAAAGUUUUUAACUCCACAAAUACCUGUAGUUUUGUUCUUGUUCUUUUUCCAUUUGAGCUUCUACUUGAGAAAACCAGGAGAAAAACUAUAGGUAACAAUAAUAAUAAGGCACAAUUUUUUGGGAACAUUAUUUCACAAGGAACGAUUUCCUAAAAAUUUCAGGGAUUUGGUGCAUUUGAGACAAUCAUUAGAAGAAGCAAAGUAUCAAAAAUAUUGUUGUUAAGUCAAACUGCAGCAACAGAAAAGAGUUUUAAUUUUCGAGCCUUAGCAUUAUUUUUUAAGAGUUCUGACACGGAAAUAUUUUCAUAGAUGACCCCUUUAUAUAUAUUGUUCUCCUCAAUUAAAAUUUUUGGAUUCAAUUAAAAACUGAGAAGUUCCAAAAAUUAAUCCCCUUAAAUAUAGUAAGAGCCCAUAUGAAUUCACAAAAAAUUUACAAGCCUGUAAUAUUUAAACUUCUUUAGCUUGUAAUAGAUAUUUGAAUUCCAAAAUAAAAAGUUUUAUUUUUUAUGUUACCUGUUGUGCGUUCUCAAUUUUUCUUGUCCCCAGAUCCAAACUUGCAAUAUGUCGCGAAAGCUCGUCAUCUUGAGAAAGGCUUUCAUUGAGCUUUUUUUCAACACGAAACUAAAAAAAAAGACAAUCAAUGUCAUCAAAGACCUAAAUAAAUUAUAGAAACAGCUGUGCAUAUAUGAGGUUUUAACUAAUUACAUUCGUGAAACUGCACAUUAGCUUCAUAAGUUUUGCAAAGAUGAUAAAUUGAGUGGGACUUAAAUUCACAACCUGUUUGUCAAGUAAUUGCUCUACUGUGCUAAUAACUAAAUACUAUCUCCAUAGAGGUGAGGAUACUCUAUAAUCAGAUUUUCCAUAGUAAAUACACCUUUUAUGGGAGAGGCAUACAGUGUAAAUAAGGAAAUAAUGUUGGAAUUUAAUUAAAAGAUGCUUUAAAACUAUAUUUUGCAAUCUAUACAAGUUAAUAACCUUAAUACCAUGUAUAGAUUGUUGAAUUCAUUUGAAAUAAAAAGUAGUAAAAAUAUUUCAAACUUAAAUCUCCUUUGUUUGUCAAGCAAUUGCUCUACUGUUUUAUUAACUCGAUACUAUCUCCCUAUCAUAUGCGGGUGAAGAUACUCUAUAAUUAGAUUUGCCAUAUUUGUUAAUCUUUUUUUAUGGAAAAGGCAUACUCAAUGGACCCAGGUUUUAAGUCCAUCACCAGCUUAUAUUAUAGAAACAAUGCUGUAUUAAUACCUAUUAAAGGUCAUACACCAAAUUAAUCUGUAGCUUUAUUUACUUAAUUUUUGUGGUUCUAUUUACCUUUUUAUUUUAAAAAAUUGAAGAAAAGAAUUAAUAACAAAAAUAAAAAAAACUUGUAAAAAAAAUGGCUGUCCCAGCAUAACUAAUAUGUGGAAUAAAAUAUUCCCUGAAAGCAGAGAAAAUACAAGUAGCAUAUUGUGAUGUGGUAAUAAGGGCCAACAUUUUUGUUUGUACAAAUGUGAUGACAAGGUACCUUAUCAGCAACUGGAUUGGUACAAUGUAAAUAAGGAAGUAACAGUGAAAUUAAAUAAAAAAGAUGCUUUAAAACUACAAUUUGCAAUUUAUACAAGAUAUUAACCUCAAUACCAUGAAUUGAAUUCGUUUGAAAUAAAAAAUGGUGAAAAUAUUUCAGCCUUAAUUCUACUUUAGUGAAAAGAACUUGUUUAAUUUUGUCAAACUUUGACAUGACAAACAGUAACACCAUAUUAAUUAAAUCUAAAUUACAUUUUAAAUUGGUUUACUGAAAAAAAUGAUCCAAGCCAAAUUUAAUGCUGCAAGACAUGUAUAAUAACAAAACAAUAUUAACAAUUUCUAUAAUUUUAAUAUUAUUGUUCCCAUAACAGUCAGCAAUAUUAUAAUUGCUUAGUUAAAAUAUUAUAAUUGCUUAGUUAAAUUAAUUAAUUUCAUGCUUCAGAUAUAUAAAAAAAACAUCUAAUAGACAAAAUGACAAUAGGAAACCUACAAUAGAAACCAACUGAAAUACCAUAUAAUUAAAGUUUAAUAUUAUUAUUAAGGGAAUUGUAGAUUUUAAUACACUGGUAAGCAGUUCAAACAAAACUGUUAUGGUAAAAACAGUGUUAGCAUUGUCUUAGUAACAUAUAUAAAAACAAAUACAUAGCAGCAAUGACGAAAUACAAAAACAACGGAAGUAAAUCUACUUUGAAAUUUUCAGACAGAAUUAACCUCAUAUCAUCAGUAGAAGAUUUGAGGCCAGUUGUUGGCGAACAAGAGGGUGUCAAACAAAAAACAAGUAAAAGCUACCCGUUGUCUAUAAAAAUAUCAUACACAGAACAAAACAUGAAAAGGUACCCUGAGAGUACUCAAAGAAUUGAAAAAAUUGUAAAGGAUAUUGCACAGGAAAAGUUGAAGACCAAAACAUUACUUGAACUAUCGAAAGAAUGCCUUAAACAAGAUUGUAAUGAUUUAAUUUAUUUUGCUUGACAUGACUUUAAGAUAUUGAAUGUUUAUUUACAUGGGUCUUCUGAUCACCCUACAUGAUAUAAUUGGUUGUAAUCAAUGCAGAAGGACUUGAUAUGGACUUAAAAUAACUUGCAUCAGUAACUAAUAAAUAUUUAAUUGUAAAUAAUGUUUAUAAUUUACUAUUGUAAGAAAAUUGGUGCUUAAUAGUUAUUAGUAUUUUUAAUACAUAGUUGCUUUGUAGAUUUAUUGUAUAUACCUGUGCUCCUUACAUAGAUUAAUUUUCAUAAAUUGACUAAAAAUCUUUUGUGCUUGCACUAAUGACGUCCUCAAAACUCCUGAAAAUUCACUUAGAACAAUUUAGAGUACCACACAUUUUAGAGAAUUUUACAAUGAAAGUCUAAAAAGACUGUGUUCUUACUGAGACUUUCCAUAAAGAUACUAUAUUUCACAUCUGUCAACAAAAUAAUAAAAGCAUUUUUUUGACAUAGCAGAAACCACCCUGGUUGGGUGCACACAUAAAUAAAGAUUUUCAAAAUUUCACCUUUGAGAAUGCCUCAAAAUGAACUCUCCUAUCCUUUUAUGUAACUUUAUUUGAGUGUUUAGUUAUAAGCAAUUAAAAGUGUAUUAUAAGAAAAAUGCACCUUUUUUAUAACAAAACUAUUCAGAGAGCAAUACCUAUUUUGUACAUUUUGUAUUUUUGUACAAAAAAUCCUCUGUUCAAAUUUUGCAGGUGUUCAUAUGGUUCGACACUCCCUGCCUACUUGAUACAAAUCUAAUUUGUCAGUAAACUUUUUACAUUUUGACCGUGGAAAAAAAUCCUUUCACUGGAUGAUAAAGCUUUUUCUGUAUCAAAUUCUUAUCACCAGUGUCGCAAGGCGAGCUGCAACAAUUAUUUCCACUAUAUACAUCAACAUUUGUAUAGGAACUUUGGCUGGUAUUUACACUAUGAUCAUUGUUAAUAUUGACAUUAUUUCCAACAAAUCUGUUAUCAAAAUAUGAUAAAAGUGAUAUUGUACGGUAGUGAGACAUGGGCAUAUAUUGUACGGUAGUGAGACAUGGGCAGUGAAGCAGGAAGAUCUUGACCGUUUAGAAAGAAAUGAUAUGAGAAUGGUUAGGUGGAUGUGUAACACCAGUCUGAGAGACAGAAAGAGUUCAGAUAAGCUAAAAAGCAGGCUAAGUAUUCGUAGAAUUAAAGAUGUUAUCCAGAUAAAAAGAUUAAAUUGUUUGGGGCACUUGGAAAGAAUGGAGGGAGAUAAUUGGGUAAGAAAGUGUAGAGACUUGAUAGUUCCUGGGGCAAAACCCAGAGCCAGACCGAGAAAGACUUGGCAGGAGGUAAGGACAGACUUGAUACAGAGGAAGUUGAGUUUAGAUCUAACACAGUCUAGAUCAGAUUGGAAGAGGGUCAUUAAUAUACCCCAUCCAACUUAUGUAGCAUCAUGGAAAAAGCAUGUUAAGCUAAGAAUGAAGAUGAUGAUGAUCCCUUAGUUUUAUUUCCACAUUUGAGAAAGAAACUUAAAAUUGUAUGUAUGUAAAAAAACUCCCUUACAUUAUUUUAAUACAUGACUUAAAUUUUUAUAUAUAUGGGUAUGGAAAGUGGUUUAAACCAGGAGCUAUGAUAACACUCACUCACCCAUAUUGAAUCGCAGGCAAGGGAAAUCGAAACCCGGUCUCCUCUCAAAAAGUGCAAAAGUUAUAACUACUAAGCUGUAGUACCAAUAAAAGGUAAGGCACCAAUAAAGUUUGUAGGGAACCAAAAUGAGAAUGAUGCUAAAAAUAUCACAAAAUGGCUAUUUGUUGGCUUCAAUCUAUAUCUUGGAAUUUUAUUACUUUUAUUACACAUUCUCAAAUUUAUCACUUAAAAAAACACUAAACUUAGGAUCCCACAAAUAGAGUAAUCAUAGUUUUUAAUUAUUUCAAUUAUUGUUAGGCGAAUAGUGCAAUCGUUUAGGUCCCAAACAAUCCAUUCAUCUAGAAUACCUUAUAGGGAUUAUCUCCACCAUCAUUUCACAUUUUAAAAAAAUUGAAACUAUCAUGAUCGUUUCAAGAUCGUAUCAUCCUUUUUUAACUUCCUUUACAGAUCAUUUCAUGAAACGAACCUGAAGGGAAUUGAAACGAUUUGGAAACAAUUUAUUUUGUUUUUUAAGCUCAAAAAUGAGUCCAGAAUUGCGAAAAGAAUGUGUAUUUAUUUAGGGUUUGUGAAUAUAUACAAUAUAGAAUGGAGGCUGCUAUGAGACUGAAUGUGAGGCAACUACAUAAAGACAGACAGUGAUACAAGAUGACAGACGUUCACAGUGUAGACAUAUGAUACAUGUAAAUGUAACACAAAAGUUUUCUGUAGAAACCAUUCCUGAUCUUCAUUUAAUUUUUCGAAUGUAUGUACCGCUGCUCUAUUUUAGAUUAAGAAUUUUAAAUAAAUAAUUUUAAUGCUACGAAAGACUUUAAAUAUUGUCAACUAAACUAUAUAUAGUAAAAAGAUUUUACACUUAAAUUUAGAUUUUCUUAAAAGACUGCACAAAAAACAUUUAAAGGAACAAUAAACGUUUUUAUCAAAAUACCUUUUGUCUUUUUUAUUAUUUAAGUGGAAGAAGAAUCGCUGUAUAAAUUUCGAAACAGCACAAGAAUAAUUUCUUGCUGCAUAACUUCUAAAAACAAGUCUUUUCGCCCUUGACAGCUAGUUAUUUUACUAAUUCGAAACAAGUGAGACUAAUAAUUAUUAUUUUCCUUCACAACAAAAAAUAAUAACUGCGUGUGUGAUGCGAAAAUACAUAAAAGAAUAUGCUUGUCGUAACAACCUAUUUGUUGUUAUUUUUUAUAAUUUUUUUGUUGCUGAUUCGAACAUACAUUCUCGAAAACAUUAUUUUUAUUUCCCCGACCCACCGACUGUAAGCUGCUAAUAUUAGCUGUAGAGCAACUAAUUAAGUUGGAGUCACCUUAUGGAAAAUAAAGUAACUUUGACAAUUGCUGUUGUGAAUAUGAAUUACGAGAGCAAUUUUUUGCCGCUUCUUUUGUCGUUUCUUUGCUGCCAUGCUAUAUCCCUAAUUCGGAGGGCUGUAUAUAGUUGAUGGGAAUACUAUCACCAGCAGAAGUAGAUAUUUUAAAUAUAUAUACUGAGAAUGUGUCUCAGAGGCUAAGGUCACCCCCCAAAAAAUAAUUGGUUAGCGUCACCAGACCGACUCACUUUGAAAGGCGAAAGUUGAAUAGAAUUUGUCGAAUCGAAUUUGUAAAAAAUAAACCAAACAAUCCACAAACAAUCUUCGACACGCAACAAAAUCCACCAUUUACCUUUUCAGCGGUCAUCCAAAUUACAGUUGUUACGUCCGAAUGUUAUUUCGAUUCGGUGAUUCGGUUCAGCCUUGUUGCUGUAGCGAUGAUUGACAUUUUGCUUAAAUGACGAAUCACAUUUGUGCUACAUCCGCCAUUUUUAAAAUUUCGCAGGGUGAAAACAAACCUAGUUUGUAGGGGGAAGAAUGCUAAAAUAUGUGGAAAUGGAAGAAUAAUUAGCUAACGAAAGGUAACCACAAUAAAAAUCUGUCUGGAAAUGAUGCUUAGCUAUCUAGAUUUAGCUCCAAAAAAUUAUAUGUGCUUAAACUUCCUAUCAUUGUUCUUACAACUCCAAAAUGUGUCUAUCUCUGCACUUUCUUCACCUAAAUACGGAAACUUUUCACCUCAAAAAAAUUGUUAUGACGUCAACCGAAUCGCCGAAUAGGGGACUGUGCUGUGCUACUCAGUGCUAUAUUUUCCUGCUUCACAUUUUUACGGCAAUACAAGCGAAAACCAUGGGAACAACAUUGACUGACAAAAAUUGAACUUGAAACGGAGGCUAAAAAUACAGCUGGCGUACAUUUAAAACAAAUAACAAAAUAUGGCUGCGAAAUAUAGUACUUUUGUAAUUUUAAGGGAAAAAUUUUUAUCUGACCGACCGACUCACUUUUGUAAUUAGAAAUGACGCUAACCAAACAUAUUUUCGAAGGUGGCCUAACCGUAUAUGCAUUUUAUUAUCCACUCAGUUUUUCAGAAUUUGUCUGCACAUUUUCAUUUACAAAUAACAAAAAUAACUAUUUUGUUUAUAUCUACCUUUUCUGGUAUUGGUCUUUGUGUAUAUGUAUUAAGCUCUACGAUACUUUCUUUCUGUUUGUCUGUAAGGGGGGCCAAGGAAGUACUUCUUGAAUCCCAUUGCGACAAUUUAUCCAAGUAUUUCUUCUCAACCAAACUAUCGCCAGCCUUCGCUGCCAUGUUGAUUCGUCAGUUCUCGGAAUUAUCAAAUGGGAUGCCAAAAUUAACAUUUUAGCGUUUUUUGCGCGCUAAAGGCCUUUUUUAACAAACCUCAUACCCAGGGGCACGUGGUAACAGAAUAACGAACAAGAACAGAAGAUAAAAGGGGAACAUUGUUUAGAAAAUUAUUUUUAGGUCUUAUAAUAUUUUACAAACUAAAGCAUUUUCUCGUAAAAAAAGGCAAGUAAGUGCCUCAUCUUAAAUAAACAUUCGCGCUCACCCCUCAUCCCCAAUUUAACAUAUAGCGCUAUUCUGCGCAUUGAAUGCUAGGCUUCUUCUCUGUAAGCGUUACCCACAGACAGGUUUUUCCCCAAUGUAAAAAAUCCAACAAGCGCUGGGGACGAGAUUAAUAAGACAGCGAGAUUCACUGGUAUAACAAAAUAGAAGAACAAGAGACCUGCAUAAUAACUUUUUGAUAUAAAGUAAAGAUGGCAAUAUCGUGUCAAGAAAUGCCAAAAAGACCUGAGGACGAGAGUGCUUGUACAGUCCUAAUUGUAUAUUCACAAAAAUCAUUCCUUCUUUAAAAAAACACCACACAAUCUCAUUCCCAGGUUGUGGCUAUCGGAAUCGAGCUGGCGGAAUUGGGUACAAUUAUAGGUGUAAUAGUUUUCCCAAAACAAAUUAUCCGACGUUGCUGGCAAGAAAAGAACUUUACAGAGAUAUAAUUUUUUUACCUAAACAAUUAUGAAAUGGUACUUUGAAUAAAUCUUAACAGAGCACCACAGCAAAUAUCUUGUAUACAACAUAAUCAAUUAGCUAAGAAUCAAUUGAGCAAAUGUUUAACAAAACCCAAAAGCGAAGAAUUGAAAAAUAUAUCAAUAGUUAUUAAAUUAUUGUAGAAUUUGUUAGGUUUACUAUUCAAACUUUUUUUUUCAGAUUAGCUUGUUUCCUGACGUUUCGAACGCUACAAGUAAUUGUGUAUCAAGAAAACAGGAAUAAAUGAAAAACAAUAUAAAACAAACAAACAAACAAACAAAAAAACAAACAAACCAAAAAAAAAAAAAACGAGGGCGGGCGGGAAGGCAGGCGAUGGAAAGAAGAACGCAAAUGAGUAAACAAUAUUUUUCUUCUAUUUCUAGAAAACGAUUUCACAUGGAAUCGUCAUUAAUGCGUGUAAAUAUACAAUCUAUAAAUAGAAACAAACUGACAAAAACAGGACUGAAUUCCAAUACAAAUAUUAUUACCGUAAAAAAAUAUUCUACGUUGUAAAUACAGGUUUUUUACAGGAAACGCAUUUUACAAUCUUUUCUUCGUGAAAGAAUCCCACGUUAAAAACACUGCAAAAAUAUAAAUGACCUUUAAAAAUAUAAAAAAUAACGAAACGGCGCAUUUCAAAAGGUUACAUCGGUUCGUAUCAAAUACAUUUAAAAGCCAUACAGCAGUCGCCCAACCUAUGUUUUUACACUACUGACUAAUUUAUAUCAAUAAGUUAGUUCUAAAAAAAAAUAUUUCAUCAGCUACACAAUCUGGACAGGUCCCUUACAUUGUUCGCAGCAAUUAAACGUAACAUGAUAGUUGGUGGAUAGAAAAUGACUGAUCCGGUUGUGAGCUAGAUAAUCGUGCCUCAUCCGAGUGAGUUCUUCGGUUUGUAUACCUGUAUUAAUGACAACCUGGAAAAAAGAAAAGGAAAACAGUUUAUAAUACUCUUAUGUCAAGUACACCUAUUUUUUAAAUUUAUUACAGUACUCCGCACAUGGUUGCCACUCCUACAGGGCUGCAAAGGUUGUUCUUGAUGACGUAAAAACAGCAAUUUUGAACUUAACAUAUAUUUCGCGAACAAUGUAGCACAAAAUACCAUUAUGAUGAUAAAUCUUGAACUAGCAAAUUUGGAAUAAUUGAAUAUAAAGAGAUUUAAGGAGAAAGUAAUGUUACAUUUGGAGAAACACUAAGAGGUUUUGAGGAAGUUUGGUAAUCCAGUUUUCCAUUUUUUUAGCGUAAAAGGAAAUUCGGUGAUCCUAUUCUCAGAUCAGCGUAAUAAGAAACUCGUGUAGGUGUAAGUACAACCGCUAAAUUUAACUUGUAUACUUAGCGGGAAAAAUAAUGGAGAACUGAAAUUAAAUUUUUGUUUUACCUCAUGAGCCAACUGUUCGGCUGGCGUGAGUUCAUCAGCCUCGACUAUAAUAUUAUUCCUCAUGCUGGUCUUCCCUUUCUCUUUCUCCAUUACAGAAUGUUUAAUCUCAAUCAUAUGAGGCUGAUACUCAGCAGGUGUUUUCUCUUUAUCCUCUGUAAUGAUUUCAACUAAAGCUUCUGCUAAAUCGUGAUUCAUGAAAGCAACAUCGAUGGUGGUCAACGAUUGUUGAGAAUCGAGAGAGGGGUCUUUGCAGCCUAACAAUUCAGCUACAGAUAUAAGUCCUCUAAAAAACACAUGAGAAUAAUUGUCAAGCAUAAAGACAGAAAAUUAGAACAUGUGAAGAAUUUUAGUACUUUCAUUUUCUUCCUAUAAGUUAUAAAAGAAUUUUAUGUUUGCUAACUUCCUAAUAACUUCCUCUUUUUCUAGUUUGGUUGUUUGGCUAUUGUGACUGGGUUCUUAAAACAGAAGUUAUAGAAUAUUAUAUAUUCUUUUUUCUUCAGUUUCGCAACAUUGACUGUAAUAAGCGCUUAAAAUGCUCCACAUGCCCGGCUUUUACGCUGUCUUUUCUUUUCCUACACAUUUUCGUAGCAUUUUUUUCUAGAUUGUGUAGAUUGUUAAUGAUUGUUUAAGUUUGUUCUACCGUUUUUUAUAAAGUUUUUUAUGUUGUAAAUUCUUCUUAUUAACUUCUAUCGUUCUGCAAUGUUGAACACGCGUCAUCUAGGUAGAGUAAAUUCUUCCAAACAUCUCUAUUAUAAUAGCCGUAUUCCGUCUGUCCGUCUCUGCGCGGACCCCCCGCUGAGAUAGAAAAUGAUGUUACGGAAACACGAAUAUCAAAUACGAUAUAUUUUUAUCCACUUUGUUGCGACGGGUAAAUAUAAUGGACGGCGAAACCGUGGAUUUUUCCACGGGCUAACGACUAGUCUCUUUAAUAAUAGCCGUAUUCCGUCUGUCUGUGUGUCCGCGAAAGCCGUGUCCCGUAACGGAAACACGAAAUUUUUAAAAUACGCACGAAUAUCAAAUGCGAUAAAUUUUUGUCCACUUUGUUGCAACGGGUUAAUUUAAAAGACGAGCGAACGCGACGGGGGCGACCCCGUGGAUUUCUCCACGGGUUAACGACUAGUCUAUAUUAUAAUACCGGUAUACGUCUGUCCGUCUGUCACGCAAAAUGGUAGCUUAUCUGCGCAAGUAGCGAGAUGCACGCAGUACGGUAUAAAAAGGACGGGCGAACUCGUGGAUUUUUUUUUCACUGCUUACCUUCUUGUUGCAUUGUUCAAAGCUCUGAUUUUUGAAUGUUCUUCUAAUAAGCUUUGCAGAGCAGUAUGUGACUCGCGAUAUUUAUAAUACAGUGCUGACUUCCAACGUGCUAGUUCAUCACCCAUUACCCUACAUAAAGAUGAAGUAACCAGUUAUACACCUGCUUCGUUCACACUACUUAGGAGUCACAAAAUGAAACAUUUAGACUAAACGUCAAUUUGAUGUUUUGAUUAUACUCCUCAUUCCUUGCCUUUAACAUUCAAACCAAAGAAUUCACGUAUCAAUCUCUGAAACUAGAAACACUCGGACAUACGCUUCUGUGAGGAAUGCAAUGCCAAAAGUACUUUUUGUACUCAGAAAAAUCGAUGUUUGACGGUAUAAAAUAUACCUUUUGAUUUAUACACCACCCCUUAACAGUACAAGUAGUAUUUGAAAAAAAAAACAUUAUUAGGGAUAGGAAC